rnacentral:rRNA from 1 species
GAUGAACGCUAGCGGAAGGCUUAAUACAUGCAAGUCGAGCGGUAGGUGGCUUCGGCCAUUGAGAGCGGCGCACGGGUGAGUAACGCGUACAUGACCUGCCUGUCAGAAGGGGAUAGCCCUGGGAAACUGGGAUUAAUACCCUAUGGUAUUGAUAUUAUGAAUGAUAUCAAUUAAAGUUGAGGCGCUGACAGAUGGAUGUGCGUCUGAUUAGCUAGUUGGUAGGGUAACGGCCUACCAAGGCGACGAUCAGUAGGGGGCGUGAGAGCGUGGUCCCCCACACGGGUACUGAGACACGGACCCGACUCCUACGGGAGGCAGCAGUAAGGAUAUUGGCAAUGCCGCAAGGGUAACCAGCCAUUCCGCGUGGAGGAUGAAGGCCCUAUGGGUUGUAAACUUCUUUUAGAUGGGAAGAAAAUGCUAGAUGUAUCUGGUACUGACGGUACCAUCAGAAUAAGCACCGGCUAACUCCGUGCCAGCAGCCGCGGUAA